GACGAACGCUGGCGGCGUGCUUAACACAUGCAAGUCGAACGGAAAGGCCUGCUUUCCCUUGUGGAUUGCGGGUGCUCGAGUGGCGAACGGGUGAGUAACACGUGAGUGAUCUGCCCCCAACUUGGGUAUAAGCCUGGGAAACUGGGUCUAAUUCCCGAUAGGACUGCAGGGUGGUGCCUGUGGUGGAAAACGAUUUUCUAGUGGUUGGGGAUGAGCUCGCGGCCUAUCAGCUUGUUGGUGGGGUAAUGGCCCACCAAGGCGGCGACGGGUAGCCGGCCUGAGAGGGUGGACGGCCACAUUGGGACUGAGAUACGGCCCAGACUCCUACGGGAGGCAGCAGUGGGGAAUAUUGCACAAUGGGCGGAAGCCUGAUGCAGCGACGCCGCGUGGGGGAUGACGGCCUUCGGGUUGUAAACUCCUUUCGACCGCGAGGAAGCCACCUGGUUGGAAGGGUGGUGACGGUAGUGGUAGAAGAAGCACCGGCUAACUACGUG
rnacentral:rRNA from 1 species